rnacentral:rRNA from 1 species
UACGUAGGGGGCAAGCGUUGUCCGGAUUUAUUGGGCGUAAAGAGCGUGUAGGCGGCCAGAUAGGUCUGCUGUGAAAACUCGAGGCUCAACCUCGAGCUGUCGGCGGAAACCAUCUGGCUAGAGUCCGGAAGAGGAGAGUGGAAUUCCCGGUGUAGCGGUGAAAUGCGCAGAUAUCGGGAAGAACACCUGUGGCGAAGGCGGCUCUCUGGGACGGUACUGACGCUGAG